rnacentral:rRNA from 1 species
CCUACGGGGGGCAACAGUGGGGGAUAUUGGACAAUGGGGGGAACCCUGAUCCAGCGACGCCGCGUGAGUGAAGAAGUAUUUCGGUAUGUAAAGCUCUAUCAGCAGGGAAGAAAAUGACGGUACCUGAGUAAGACGCCCCGGCUAACUACGUGCCAGCAGCCGCGGUAAUACGUAGGGGGCAAGCGUUAUCCGGAUUUACUGGGUGUAAAGGGAGCGUAGACGGGAGUGCAAGUCUGGAGUGAAAGGCGGGGGCUCAACCCCCGGACUGCUCUGGAAACUGUACGGCUGGAGUGCAGGAGAGGUAAGUGGAAUUCCUAGUGUAGCGGUGAAAUGCGUAGAUAUUAGGAGGAACACCAGUGGCGAAGGCGGCUUACUGGACUGUAACUGACGUUGAGGCUCGAAAGCGUGGGGAGCAAACAGGAUUAGAUACCCCAGUAGUC